AGGGAGGCAGCAGGCGCGCAACUUACCCACUCCCGGCACGGGGAGGUGGUGACGAAAAAUAUCGAUGCGGGACUCUUUCAGAGGCCCCGUAAUCGGAAUGAGUGAACUAUAAAUCCUUUGACGAGGAUCAAUUGGAGGGCAAGUCUGGUGCCAGCAGCCGCGGUAACUCCAGCUCCAAUAGCGUAUAUUAAAGUUGCUGCAGUUAAAAAGCUCGUAGUUGGAUCUCGGUAGCACUGAGGCCUGUCGGUGUUGUGCAGUUCGGCUAUCGAUGCAUGGGCGCUGCCUGUGUUGUCGUGGUUGGCUGUUGCAAGCUGUCAUGGUGUUGGUGUCGCCUUUCAGCCAUGUCUGUGGUGCAAUAUCCACAGGUGUAGGCGAGUGUCAGGCGGUGCUUUGCAACUGCAAGGUCCGUCGGCUCGUUUGCAUGCCUUCGGAUGCCCUUCAAAAGGUGUCUAAAGGCGGAUGGCACGUUUACUUUGAACAAAUUUGAGUGCUCAAACCAGGCCGCAGUUGCCUGAAAAGUUUUGCAUGGAAUAAUGGAAUAGGACUUCGGUUCUAUUUUGUUGGUUUUCGGAUCCGAAGUAAUGAUCAAAAGAGACAGGCGGGGACGUUUGUAUGGCUGCGCUAGAGGUGAAAUUCAUGGACCGUAGCCAGACAAACUAAAGCGAAAGCAUUCGUCAAGCAUGUUUUCAUUGACCAUGAGCGAAAGUCAGAGGCUCGAAGACGAUCAGAUACCGUCCUAGUUCUGACCAUAAACGAUGCCAACUGACGAUCCGUGGUGGUAGUCUAUUCACCUUCCCCACGGGCAGCCCCCGGGAAACCUUUAAGUCUUUGGGUUCCGGGGGAAGUAUGGUUGCAAAGCUGAAACUUAAAGGAAUUGACGGAAGGGCACCACCAGGAGUGGAGCCUGCGGCUUAAUUUGACUCAACACGGGAAAACUCACCCGGGCCGGACACUAUGAGGAUUGACAGAUUGAUAGCUCUUUCUUGAUUCAGUGGUUGGUGGUGCAUGGCCGUUCUUAGUUGGUGGAGCGAUUUGUCUGGUUAAUUCCGAUAACGAACGAGACUCUGGCCUGCUAAUUAGUUCAUCUGUCCACUGUUCCUGUGUAGGCGGCGUUCAACACGGCUGCUGCCGUACGCUGUUGUAGGCUUGUCUGUCCUCUCGGGGGCAGGCUGGUUUGCAAUGGUUGGUGGUGGCUUGCUUGGCGUUAGCUUCCGGGUACGGCGCGGAUGUUUACUUCUUAGAGGGACAAUCGGAAGAAACCGCACGAGAUAGAGCAAUAACAGGUCUGUGAUGCCCUUAGAUGUCCGGGGCCGCACGCGCGCUACAAUGACGGUGGCAACGAGUCAGACCUUCUGGCCCGAAAGGGUUGGACAAACUGGUCAAUCACCGUCAUGACAGGGAUCGGGGCUUGUAAUUGUUCCCCGUGAACGAGGAAUUCCUAGUAAGUGCAAGUCAUAAGCUUGCGCUGAUUACGUCCCUGCCCUUUGUACACACCGCCCGUCGCUACUACCGAUUGAAUGGUUUAGUGAGGUCCUUGGAUCGGCGCCAUUGUGGCUAUUGCCGAAAGGUGAUAGUCCGAC
rnacentral:rRNA from 1 species